GUUUUCUUUUCUAGUAUAAGCGUUCGAGUUCCCUGGAAACCUCUAGCAGGGAGAUAGGGUUUGGAACGCGAAGAGCACCGCAAUUGCGGCGGUGUCCGGAUCUUCCCCUCGGACCUUGAAAAUCCAGGAAAGGGCCACGUGGAGGUGUCGCGCCGGCUCGUACUCAUAUCCGCAGCAGGUCUCCAAGGUAAAGAGCCUCUAGUCGAUAGACUAAUGUAGGUAAGGGAAGUCGGC
rnacentral:ncRNA from 1 species